rnacentral:rRNA from 1 species
UACGGGGGGGGGGCAAGCGUUGUUCGGAAUUACUGGGCGUAAAGGGCCAGUAGGCGGCCAACUAAGUCCGACGUGAAAUCCCAAGGCUUAACCUUGGAACUGCGUCGGAUACUGGAUGGCUUGAAUUCGGGAGAGGGAUGCAGAAUUCCAGGUGUAGCGGUGAAAUGCGUAGAUAUCUGGAGGAAUACCGGUGGCGAAGGCGGCAUCCUGGACCGGUAUUGACGCUGAGGCGCGAAAGCCAGGGGAGCAAACGGG